CGGAUGCGCACGUUUCCUUCACUCUUUUUUGCUUUUGUCGUUCCUAGUUGCCCCUUGCUCCAGCGUCAGCGGUCACCAUGAACACAAGUGCCGGUUUUGUUUUAGGACGAUUGAGUCGUGGGGGUGCACUUUGAAUCGUUCGGGAAUGCGAAAUUCAUUCGCAAAACGGAACCUGCGAGUCAUUUUUUUCUUUAUUACUAAACGGAAACCCCAACAAAGAAAAGGCAUUGAAUCAAGCACUUUGACUUCGUAGUCAACGGUUUUUUGUAGCUGGAAGGAAGUCCAAAGCGCAAUGGGGCCGGACUUCUUUUCUGGCUGAGAUGGGAUCUCUCGUAAUUUCCUCUAGCGACCCUGCUUCGAAGUACGUGCUUUCCCAUCUCACCUAUCGCAGGUGACGCGGUGAGAAUACACCCAUCCCGGGUCAUUCGGCUCCCUGAUAGACCCGCCAAGCCUGCGGAGCCUGAAUUGGGUAGCUGUUGUUUUUGUCUUUUGAAUAGAGAGUUUCGAAUUAUGGGACUUGGUUCUUUUCAAUGCAUUCUGAGGUUGGUAUUGUCAUUGUUUAAAUCAUUCGGUUGUCGGUCUUGGGUCGUGAUGCAUUUCCUGUGUAAUGUAUAGCUCGGCCUCAUUGUUCGAAGCCUGUGUUUUUAAUGAAUAUGUAUAUGUUGCUUGGGCUUUUUGCAUCGAUAGUAUUACAAUGUUAGUACUGAUUUAUCAGUGAUUGAUGAUAUUUUGCGAAGAUACUGCUGAUUCGGGGUUUGGCGUGCCAUAGUUCUUGGUGGUUAAUGUUUCUUAUGUCCAGAGCAUCAUGCGGAGCGAUCCACACUGGUUCAGGUAGCCCUUCGCCUUUGAGUUGUUUGAAGCAUUCUCUUCCAAUGAUGGGCCCAAAGACUCUUGCUUUUCCAUUUGUCUUUUCACUCAUAAUCUCAAGUAUGACACAAAGGCACGCCUUCGGGCUACUUGCCCAAGGCCUUCAUUCAUAUGCAAAUGCUAGCAGCAAGUACAUUGGACUAUUUCAUGCAAAUGCUUCUGCUAUGUGUUGGUGCAUCUGUGUUUAUGUAUGUUGCAAUUCGGUCUGUUUGCCUGGAAACAGGAAGUAUAAGUAGUGGCCAUUUUCGGUUAAA